rnacentral:lncRNA from 1 species
CAUAUGAUUUAGGUCUUGGGAGUGAGGUUUGGUGAACCGUUGUCACGAUCGAAAAUUUAAUAAAUUUCCGAACAAUAGCAGGCGUUAAAUUUUGGUACCAAACUAGUCUGGUACACGCUACGACAUUUGAAUAAUAGUAGCCAUCGUUUUACAAAACAAUUUAAAUAACGUACAAUAGAAUGACUAAUGGCAAUAUGGUGCCCGAUCUUUCGUCGGGUGAUUUGAUGGCAAUAGCAUGCUUUGUCUACCUGUCCGCCACGACGCUUGGGAUUCCACGUGUGGAUGGAGUUUUGAUCAUCCUCUAAGAUCGAGAUGCCAUAAGAUGCGGAGACCGAUCUGAUGAGCGCACGCGUACAGAUUACGCGGGAGCAAUUGUUGUGGCCCGAUCUUCUCGAAGGAUCUCCUAAACUUGGUAAAUAUCGCUGCAUGACCUGACGAAGAGGCUGCGCACCGCGAGAUCUUGCACACGCGACGAACAACUGAGACAAUCGCCCUUCCACGUACCGAUGAAGCCAGCCCACGCAAUCACGCCGUAUAGACGUGAAGGCACAAACUGGGUGAACCGCAGUUCGGCGUUCUACAACUCCCUCAGGAAUCGAAAGAACAAGUCUGCAAGUCUCUCAAGGCUCACGUUGAAAGAACUCAAGAGUUUGUAUUUCUGAAUUGUCAGCCAAAAGUCCCCCCUCGUCAUCUAUUACAUGGAUAUAUAUAUAGCACUAGUGGAUUUUUCAGUUUUGGAUAGAAUAAAUGGGAACAUGCAGUGGGAAGUUGUAGCACUCCUUCUAUUAAUAGUCUGGUCUAAUGGAACCCUUUGGAUGGUUGGUAUUCUUCUGCAUGCUUGUACGUGUGUGUACAGCAAGCUCACAUAUUUAUUUGCUUGCACAUUCACGAGUGAUAUGCAUGGUAGCUGAAUGGUUCUCCUUCUAUCUUUAUUUUUACUAGCACACCACGUCCAAGCAUCAAGAUCCUGCAAUUAAAAUAUAGCACACAAUAAAAUAUUUUUAGAUACAAAAUAAUAUUUGAUACUUAGGGAUAGCUUUCACCUAUCAUUAUUAUUCCAUGAUUCACACGCCAGUCUGUUCCCAACAAACAGCAAGCUGAUCACCACACUGUUGGAGGAUUAAAACCAUCCUCGUCCCAUGCCCUUGCGCAUAUGCCGUCGUUCCUAAGAAUGUUCAAACAACAACUUGGAAGCAUCGAAUGAUCUGAAAUAUUGUCAUUAAUUCGAAUAAGGUUAGCAUUCACCUGAGAAUGGAUUUCCUUCUCUAAUUGUUUAGCUCUCAUUCUUGUAACCGGACCAACAAUAUUAGUUGCAUCCUUAUUCUUUAUAAUAUUAUUGUCGAUGCUAGGGAUACACGCUACGACAUUUGAAUAAUAGUAGCCAUCGUUUUAUAAAACAAUUUAAAUAACGUACAAUAGAAUGACUAAUGGCAAUAUGGUGCCCGAUCUUUCGUCGGGUGAUUUGAUGGCAAUAGCAUGCUUUGUCUACCUGUCCGCCACGACGCUUGGGAUUCCACGUGUGGAUGGAGUUUUGAUCAUCCUCUAAGAUCGAGAUGCCAUAAGAUGCGGAGACCGAUCAAUGCCAUCCGGGAUCAUGG